rnacentral:tRNA from 1 species
AGGGGUAUAGCUCAGUGGUACAGCUCAUGCUUAGCAUGUAUGAGGUCCUGGGUUCCAUCCCCAGUACCUCCA